GGUACAGACCCUUAACCGCUCAGAAAUCCAUGUGAAACGCCUGUUGUGCGAGAUGGUGGGGAUCUAUUUGAAGUUUACAGGCUUCAGAAGAACAGGCGUGGGACCUGGAGGAAAAGAAAGCCGUAGGUUCAUGUACAGCGGUUUGUACUCUGUGGGAGUCCAGAACUGAUGUACUUGGCGGGGCUUGUGCCGUCACGGUAAUCUGAGAGUGAUAGCAUUGCUAGCGGUGUGUCAUGAGCACUAGUAAUACCAGAGUAACAGCACCGUAAUAACAGAAGAAGAACUUCAGCAAGAGCGCCACAGUAACGUUUGGACCAGGGCAAGGUACUGUAUAAAUAUUACUCUGUAGAGCAUUUUCUUGGUCCAAAUUCUUGUCUUCUCCAGGUUCUGGCCACGUGACCUUGAAGGAGUGAUUCAACCUUCUGAUGCCUUUCUGCCCUCACCUGGGAAGACCACACACCUGGCCCAGGUGGACGUGAGCACCGUUACACAUCCAGCGUGGAGCCUGCCGUGCACGGGGCAUUGGAGGCUUGGUAACAAUGUGGUGACCCCAAGACCUCGGGCAGGCAGAGAUACGCGUGCUGUGGACUGCCUCCGGGCGGUUCAGGGGUGCACUGGUGAAUUUUGAAUGUUCCCUUGAGUGGGCUUCGGAGGCCCAGACGUCUGGCUGAGCAUCAUUGGUGGGUGUGUCUGUGAGGUGUUUCUCAAGACACCAGCAUUUCAACCAGUGUCCUGAGUGAGGCUCUGCACCCUCACCAGUGCGGGCUUCAUGCCGUCCACUGAGGGCCUGAGUGGAGAAAAGUCCCACAGAAGGGCACCCUCUCUGCCUGACUGCUGGCCUGGACACCCCUCUUCUGCUGUGGGACGUGGGCGCACACCACCGUUCUCCGGUCCUGAGGCCUCUGAGCUGGACUGGAGCGCCCACCUGCCCUCCUGGGGGUCCUGCUUGUGUGUGGCUGUCGGAGAGAGAGACUUCUCAGCCCCGUAAUCGUGUGGGCCAGUGGCUCUUCUACCUGUGGCUUCUAUGAGUUGUGUAUCCCAUGAGUCUGGGCUGGGCUGGCCUUGCUCUUGUCUGUGGGGGCUCUGAACUGUGUUGUCCUUGGCUGGGGCACGGUGGCUGGGCUGGUCCCCAACCUUCCUGUCUUCUUGGGCAUGGCAGGAGGGCCUGGGAGGGACUGAAAGCCAGUCAGUGCCAACCAGUCCAGUGCUUCCCUGAUGGACUGACGCCCCAUUGGUCCAGGCAUGUCUCCAGCCUAGGCCAGGGCGGGCAGUCAUACCCCCGCCCCCCACGUCCCCCUGUAGAGGGGCACUGCUGUUAUGGCCAAGGGUGCGGACCUGCGUGGAUGCAGUCUUCGGGAACGGUGCCAGCGUUCGCUCCAAAGUCUGCCAGAAUUCUCAGCUGUUCUCAGGUGGGCUGUGGCCAGGAGUGGACUUAUCUGAGCACGUACAGAGAGCGCCAGCCACCGUGGGGGACGAGGAGGAGGUGGCGGUGUGUGGGUUGUGACAUCAUCCUGAGACAUCUUAUCUAAAUCCUCCUAGCAGAUGUUUGGUGAAAGGUGAAGCUGGGACAUAAGCCUCUUAGAGGUAUUGUCGAGACUCACAAUCGCCUGCCACACAGGGUAGCAGCGCCCGUCCACCCAGGUGGCCCGCACGGCACACCUUAUCAAUACUCCCCAGACUCGGCUCUGCGCUGCCAAAGCACAGGAGAAGAAUGUCAAGGAUCGCCCAAUCGUCUGUCCGGAAGGAAUCUUGGGCCUCACGGAGUUGUCGUCUCUGCCUUCCUCGAGCCUGUGUGGAGAGUGCGCCCACCCUUCCCUGCGCCCAGGAGGGCAAGCCAGUGUCUCCUGAAGCCCUGCCUGUCACUCCCCUGGGUGGCUCUGGCCACCAGCCGAGCCGAGCUCAUGACUGAUCUGCCUUUAACAGCCCCAAAUGGGAACCUGGGGAGGUUCCGGAGGGUGGGGUGGAGGGCAGGGUCUGCAGCCCGGGGACAGCCAGGGGGCUGGACGCUGCCCACCCUGGCAGGAGCUGCCCGCCCCCGAUUAGCGUGCCUGUGGUUCUGUCAGUACUGGGCACCUGAUCCUCGUCCCCCCGUCCCCCAGCACCCUCUCAGCUGCUAUGAGCUCCCAGGGCUGAGGACACAGUGCUUUGUACUAAUCCUCAUUUUCAUGUCUCUGUCUGAGAAAGAUCCUCAGAAGAUGGGGGGGUGGUGUUGAGGGGACAGGGCAGGGAGGAGGCGGGCACAGGGCCUCGCAGAGUUCAGAGACCGACUCGCCUCCACCACCCAGGCUAAGGUGUCCGAGCAUCUGAGUUCUCACUCAGCAAAAAUGUUUAAAAAGGAUUUGGAGGAGAAUUUGUUUUAACCUUAAGCAGUAUGAUCACUAUUUUGGUUAAAUGAAACAAGAUUUGUCUAUUUA